rnacentral:rRNA from 1 species
CCUACGGGCGGCAGCAGUGGGGAAUAUUGCACAAUGGGGGAAACCCUGAUGCAGCGACGCCGCGUGAGGGAAGAAGUAAUUCGUUACGUAAAGCUCUAUCAGCAGGGAAGAAAAUGACGGUACCUGAGUAAGAAGCCCCGGCUAACUACGUGCCAGCAGCCGCGGGAAUACGUAGGGGGCAAGCGUUAUCCGGAUUUACUGGGUGUAAAGGGAGCGUAGACGGUGCGCCAAGUCUGGAGGGAAAUGCCGAAGCUUAACUGCGGAACUGCUUUGGAAACUGGCGAACUAGAGUGCGGGAGGGGUAAGCGGAAUUCCUAGUGUAGCGGUGGAAUGCGUAGAUAUUAGGAGGAACAUCAGGGGCGAAGGCGACUUACUGGACUGUAACUGACACUGAGGCACGAAAGCGUGGGGAGCAAACAGGAUUAGAUACCCCUGUAGUC